rnacentral:misc_RNA from 1 species
GAUGAAGAACGCAGCGAAAUGCGAUAAGUAAUGUGAAUUGCAGAAUUCAGUGAAUCAUCGAAUCUUUGAACGCACAUUGCGCCCGCGAGUAUUCUCGCGGGCAUGCCUGUCCGAGCGUCAUUUCAACCCUCAGGGCCCGCCUGCUUGCAGGCGCGGCGCUGGUGUUGGGGAUCGGCUACCCUGCCGUCCCCCAAAUACAGUGGCGGUCUCGCUGCAGCCUCCCCUGCGUAGUAACAACACUCGCAUGCGGAGCGCGGCGCGGCCACGCCGUAAAACCCCCGACUUUCUGAACGUUGACCUCGGAUCAGGUAGGAAUACCCGCUGAACUUAAGCAUAUCAAUAAGCGGAGGA